rnacentral:rRNA from 1 species
CCUACGGGGGGCAGCAGUCGAGAAUCAUUCACAAUGGGGGAAACCCUGAUGGUGCGACGCCGCGUGGGGGAAUGAAGGUCUUCGGAUUGUAAACCCCUGUCAUGUGGGAGCAAAUUAAAAAGAUAGUACCCCAAGAGGAAGAGACGGCUAACUCUGUGCCAGCAGCCGCGGUAAUACAGAGGUCUCAAGCGUUGUUCGGAAUCACUGGGCGUAAAGCGUGCGUAGGCUGUUUCGUAAGUCGUGUGUGAAAGGCGCGGGCUCAACCCGCGGACGGCACAUGAUACUGCGAGACUAGAGUAAUGGAGGGGGAACCGGAAUUCUCGGUGUAGCAGUGAAAUGCGUAGAUAUCGAGAGGAACACUCGUGGCGAAGGCGGGUUCCUGGACAUUAACUGACGCUGAGGCACGAAGGCCAGGGGAGCGAAAGGGAUUAGAUACCCGGGUAGUC